rnacentral:tRNA from 1 species
GGUGUUGUGCUCGAGUGGGCAAUGAGGGCAGGUUUUAGCAGAUUUUUCCUGCCGGAGGUUAUCCCUUUUCCUCCUACAUGGGUUCGAAUCCUAUCAACACCUCCA